GCAUCCAUGGCUGAAUGGUCAAAGCUUCCAACUCAUAAUUGUCAAAUUCGUAGGUUUAAUUUUUGCUGGAUGCA
rfam:Musa acuminata subsp. malaccensis Doubled-haploid Pahang (DH-Pahang) genomic chromosome, chr3